AAGGACUAAGCUUGAUUGUUCGUCGAAGUUUCCAUAUCUUUUUCCACUUGGUUAUAAAAAAUGAACCAGACUUUCCAUGAAAGGCAAUGAAAUGUACAAGUGGACCCAAUCGGACUGCAAGGAUGGAUGGAGGAAAAUGGGGUGCGUAAUGCGCUCGUUGGAGUAGGCUAGAGAGAUGGAUGAGGUGGCAAAAAGGAGGGGACAGGUGGAGGAGAAAA